CCUACGGGAGGCAGCAGUGGGGAAUAUUGGACAUUGGGGGGAACCCUGAUCCAGCCAUGCCGCGUGUGUGAAGAAGGCCCUCGGGUUGUAAAGCACUUUCAGUGAGGAAGAACGCCUGGUGGUUAAUACCCAUCAGGAAAGACAUCACUCACAGAAGAAGCACCGGCUAACUCCGUGCCAGCAGCCGCGGUAAUACGGAGGGUGCGAGCGUUAAUCGGAAUUACUGGGCGUAAAGCGCGCGUAGGUGGCUUGAUAAGCCGGUUGUGAAAGCCCCGGGCUCAACCUGGGAACGGCAUCCGGAACUGUCAAGCUAGAGUGCAGGAGAGGAAGGUAGAAUUCCCGGUGUAGCGGUGAAAUGCGUAGAGAUCGGGAGGAAUACCAGUGGCGAAGGCGGCCUUCUGGACUGACACUGACACUGAGGUGCGAAAGCGUGGGUAGCAAACAGGAUUAGAUACCCGGGUAGUC
rnacentral:rRNA from 1 species